AGUCAUAUGCUUGUCUCAAAGAUUAAGCCAUGCAUGUCUCAGUACAAGCCAAAUUAAGGUGAAACCGCGAAAGGCUCAUUAAAUCAGUUAUGGUUCCUUAGAUCGUACACACAUUUACUUGGAUAACUGUGGUAAUUCUAGAGCUAAUACAUGCUAACAGAACUCCGACCGGAGACGGAAGGAGUGCCUUUAUUAGAUCAAAACCAAUCGGUGGCGCGGCUUGCCGUGUCAUCGUACAACAUGGUGAAUCUGAAUAACGUUUGCUGAUCGCACGGUCUCGCACCGGCGACGCAUCUUUCAAAUGUCUGCCUUAUCAACUGUCGAUGGUAGGUUCUGCGCCUACCAUGGUUGUAACGGGUAACGGGGAAUCAGGGUUCGAUUCCGGAGAGGGAGCCUGAGAAACGGCUACCACAUCCAAGGAAGGCAGCAGGCGCGCAAAUUACCCACUCCCGGCACGGGGAGGUAGUGACGAAAAAUAACGAUACGGGACUCAUCCGAGGCCCCGUAAUCGGAAUGAGCACACUUUAAAUCCUUUCACGAGGAUCAAUCGGAGGGCAAGUCAGGUGCCAGCAGCCGCGGUAAUUCCUGCUCCGAUAGCGUAU
rnacentral:rRNA from 1 species